rnacentral:rRNA from 1 species
UUAAGUUAUUAAGGGCGCACGGUGGAUGCCUUGGCACUAGAAGCCGAUGAAGGACGUUACUAACGACGAUAUGCUUUGGGGAGCUGUAAGUAAGCUUUGAUCCAGAGAUUUCCGAAUGGGGAAACCCAGCAUGAGUUAUGUCAUGUUAUCGAUAUGUGAAUACAUAGCAUAUCAGAAGGCACACCCGGAGAACUGAAACAUCUUAGUACCCGGAGGAAGAGAAAGAAAAUUCGAUUCCCUUAGUAGCGGCGAGCGAAACGGGAAGAGCCCAAACCAACAAGCUUGCUUGUUGGGGUUGUAGGACACUCUAUACGGAGUUACAAAGGACGACAUUAGACGAAUCAUCUGGAAAGAUGAAUCAAAGAAGGUAAUAAUCCUGUAGUCGAAAAUGUUGUCUCUCUUGAGUGGAUCCUGAGUACGACGGAGCACGUGAAAUUCCGUCGGAAUCUGGGAGGACCAUCUCCUAAGGCUAAAUACUCUCUAGUGACCGAUAGUGAACCAGUACCGUGAGGGAAAGGUGAAAAGCACCCCGGAAGGGGAGUGAAAUAGAACCUGAAACCGUGUGCUUACAAGUAGUCAGAGCCCGUUAAUGGGUGAUGGCGUGCCUUUUGUAGAAUGAACCGGCGAGUUACGAUUUGAUGCAAGGUUAAGCAGUAAAUGUGGAGCCGUAGCGAAAGCGAGUCUGAAUAGGGCGUUUAGUAUUUGGUCGUAGACCCGAAACCAGGUGAUCUACCCUUGGUCAGGUUGAAGUUCAGGUAACACUGAAUGGAGGACCGAACCGACUUACGUUGAAAAGUGAGCGGAUGAACUGAGGGUAGCGGAGAAAUUCCAAUCGAACCUGGAGAUAGCUGGUUCUCUCCGAAAUAGCUUUAGGGCUAGCCUCAAGUGAUGAUUAUUGGAGGUAGAGCACUGUUUGGACGAGGGGCCCCUCUCGGGUUACCGAAUUCAGACAAACUCCGAAUGCCAAUUAAUUUAACUUGGGAGUCAGAACAUGGGUGAUAAGGUCCGUGUUCGAAAGGGAAACAGCCCAGACCACCAGCUAAGGUCCCAAAAUAUAUGUUAAGUGGAAAAGGAUGUGGCGUUGCCCAGACAACUAGGAUGUUGGCUUAGAAGCAGCCAUCAUUUAAAGAGUGCGUAAUAGCUCACUAGUCGAGUGACACUGCGCCGAAAAUGUACCGGGGCUAAACAUAUUACCGAAGCUGUGGAUUGUCCUUUGGACAAUGGUAGGAGAGCGUUCUAAGGGCGUUGAAGCAUGAUCGUAAGGACAUGUGGAGCGCUUAGAAGUGAGAAUGCCGGUGUGAGUAGCGAAAGACGGGUGAGAAUCCCGUCCACCGAUUGACUAAGGUUUCCAGAGGAAGGCUCGUCCGCUCUGGGUUAGUCGGGUCCUAAGCUGAGGCCGACAGGCGUAGGCGAUGGAUAACAGGUUGAUAUUCCUGUACCACCUAUAAUCGUUUUAAUCGAUGGGGGGACGCAGUAGGAUAGGCGAAGCGUGCGAUUGGAUUGCACGUCUAAGCAGUAAGGCUGAGUAUUAGGCAAAUCCGGUACUCGUUAAGGCUGAGCUGUGAUGGGGAGAAGACAUUGUGUCUUCGAGUCGUUGAUUUCACACUGCCGAGAAAAGCCUCUAGAUAGAAAAUAGGUGCCCGUACCGCAAACCGACACAGGUAGUCAAGAUGAGAAUUCUAAGGUGAGCGAGCGAACUCUCGUUAAGGAACUCGGCAAAAUGACCCCGUAACUUCGGGAGAAGGGGUGCUCUUUAGGGUUAACGCCCAGAAGAGCCGCAGUGAAUAGGCCCAAGCGACUGUUUAUCAAAAACACAGGUCUCUGCUAAACCGUAAGGUGAUGUAUAGGGGCUGACGCCUGCCCGGUGCUGGAAGGUUAAGAGGAGUGGUUAGCUUCUGCGAAGCUACGAAUCGAAGCCCCAGUAAACGGCGGCCGUAACUAUAACGGUCCUAAGGUAGCGAAAUUCCUUGUCGGGUAAGUUCCGACCCGCACGAAAGGCGUAACGAUUUGGGCACUGUCUCAACGAGAGACUCGGUGAAAUCAUAGUACCUGUGAAGAUGCAGGUUACCCGCGACAGGACGGAAAGACCCCGUGGAGCUUUACUGUAGCCUGAUAUUGAAAUUCGGCACAGCUUGUACAGGAUAGGUAGGAGCCUUUGAAACGUGAGCGCUAGCUUACGUGGAGGUGCUGGUGGGAUACUACCCUAGCUGUGUUGGCUUUCUAACCCGCACCACUUAUCGUGGUGGGAGACAGUGUCAGGCGGGCAGUUUGACUGGGGCGGUCGCCUCCUAAAAGGUAACGGAGGCGCUCAAAGGUUCCCUCAGAAUGGUUGGAAAUCAUUCAUAGAGUGUAAAGGCAUAAGGGAGCUUGACUGCGAGACCUACAAGUCGAGCAGGGUCGAAAGACGGACUUAGUGAUCCGGUGGUUCCGCAUGGAAGGGCCAUCGCUCAACGGAUAAAAGCUACCCCGGGGAUAACAGGCUUAUCUCCCCCAAGAGUUCACAUCGACGGGGAGGUUUGGCACCUCGAUGUCGGCUCAUCGCAUCCUGGGGCUGUAGUCGGUCCCAAGGGUUGGGCUGUUCGCCCAUUAAAGCGGUACGCGAGCUGGGUUCAGAACGUCGUGAGACAGUUCGGUCCCUAUCCGUCGUGGGCGUAGGAAAUUUGAGAGGAGCUGUCCUUAGUACGAGAGGACCGGGAUGGACAUACCUCUGGUGUACCAGUUGUCGUGCCAACGGCAUAGCUGGGUAGCUAUGUGUGGACGGGAUAAGUGCUGAAAGCAUCUAAGCAUGAAGCCCCCCUCAAGAUGAGAUUUCCCAACUUCGGUUAUAAGAUCCCUCAAAGAUGAUGAGGUUAAUAGGUUCGAGGUGGAAGCAUGGUGACAUGUGGAGCUGACGAAUACUAAUCGAUCGAAGACUUAAUCAA